AUAGCAGCGGUCGCCGCAUUUCGCAUCAAUCUUUCGCCUUUUACUAAAGAUUGCCGUGCGGCGUCCGCAUUCAAUGCAUCUUUUCUAAUUUUUUCUGGCGCUCCGGCGCCUA
rnacentral:snRNA from 1 species